AGUGACAGAUCUGCCUUCUCCCACACGGGCAGAGAAUUCAAGUAGCUCACCACGUCCUCGUCCAAGUAGGGAAAUCUGCAGAUGCCAGAGUUAUAUUUGUCAGAUAUUCUACCCUGAACAAUGGAGCAGGUGCAACAAAGCUACCAGGAGAGAGAGAGAUGCCAAUCAAACGGUCUGUAAACGCCCACAAAGACCUGAGAAAGGGUCUAAUCCAGGCACAAGUGAGAACACCUGUGGGUGAACCAUGGAUGUGAAGGGCCUUCAAAUAAAUACUGCUUAUCUGACAAACUUACAGUUUUACCUUUUACUCUCAGAGGAGAAAAGUUGAUUCCUGAAACUCAACUUGGUGCGCUGCCGCAAACAGUACUCUGUUCCAUUAGACUGAAGUCUCACAAUUUCUGACAAGAUGAAACCCGUCUCAUACCUAUUUAAGAUUAUAUUUGCCAGAUCAUGGUCAUAGGUAUAGACCAAUUUUCCUACAUUGUCCUGCUUUGUGCUCUGUUUGACGUAAUAGGCCUUUUUAAUGGACAGUGGACUGUUCCCUCAGCACUCAUGCCAGUGUAACAGCCCGGGGAACAGUUGCAUCAAAUCCCCUGCAUUGGUAAAAAGUUAAAUAGAGCUCAGAAGCCUUUGUUCCUGGAAAGAGCAAAGUCUGUUGUUUGUACUUCAAUAUAGUGACAAGUAGCAGCGCGCACAGCUCCAAAUCUUAAAACGCUGUAUUGGGUGGCAGCAAGGAUCAAAACAACCAGGCUGCCAGCACUCACAGAGAAAGUCUUUUUAUUUAUUGUGGGCAAAAACAAACAUGUUUCAGCUGGAAGCCAUCAUCAGCAUCAUCAAAACAGCAGGAAUGGCCAUCUAUAUAAACGUAUAAGGGAAUAUAUAAUUGCAUGUCAGUUUGAGCAGUACCCUCCCUGUCUCAAGCCCAGUAUUUGUAUUCUGCUGCCACUUUUUUCAUUUGUCUAAUACAAACCAUUUAUACUGUCAA